GAUGAACGCUGGCGGCGUGCCUAAUACAUGCAAGUCGAGCGAACGGACGAGAAGCUUGCUUCUCUGAUGUUAGCGGCGGACGGGUGAGUAACACGUGGAUAACCUACCUAUAAGACUGGGAUAACUUCGGGAAACCGGAGCUAAUACCGGAUAAUAUUUUGAACCGCAUGGUUCAAAAGUGAAAGACGGUCUUGCUGUCACUUAUAGAUGGAUCCGCGCUGCAUUAGCUAGUUGGUAAGGUAACGGCUUACCAAGGCAACGAUGCAUAGCCGACCUGAGAGGGUGCUCGGCCCCACUGGAACUGAGACACGGUCCAGACUCCUACGGGAGGCAGCAGUAGGGAAUCUUCCGCAAUGGGCGAAAGCCUGACGGAGCAACGCCGCGUGAGUGAUGAAGGUCUUCGGAUCGUAAAACUCUGUUAUUAGGGAAGAACAUAUGUGUAAGUAACUGUGCACAUCUUGACGGUACCUAAUCAGAAAGCCACGGCUAACUACGU
rnacentral:rRNA from 1 species